UAUAGGGUGUGGGGAGGGAUAUGGGGUAUAGGGGGGGAUAUAUGGGGGAUAAAUGGGGUGGAAUGCCAGCAAUCCCAAAGCAGUUUUUGUUCCCCCCCCCACCCCCAUCCCCCAUCCAGGUUUCAUCAGGCGGACCCACAGCAGUGGGGCAAAACCCACAGAGCUCUCCAUAGGGCUUCUAUGGGGUGGGAUGGGGCUGCCCUAUAUGGGACGGGGCCGCCCUAUAUGGGAUGGGGGGGGGGGGGGGGAUUUGGGGGGGGUUGGGGGGUUGCAGGAGCUCCAUGCUGUGCAAUGCUGGCAUUAAACUGCUGCAGGAUGGCGUGGGUUGUUUGCAGUGUGUGCAAAGGGGGGGGUUGCAAAUGGGUUUGGGGUUUGCAGCUGCAUUUUGGGGGCUGCAGGGUGUUUGCAACCUGAGCUCUGGGUUUGCAGAUGGGUUUGGGGUUUGCAGCUGCGUUUGGGGUCUGCAGGGUGUUUGCAACCUGAGCUCUGGGUUUGCUGCUGCAUUUUGGGGUUUGCAGGUGCUCUUUGGGUUUUGCACACUGUUUGCAAUGCAUGCUUGGGAUUU
rnacentral:lncRNA from 1 species